UACGUAGGGGGCGAGCGUUGCCCGGAUUCACUGGGCGUAAAGCGCGUGUAGGCGGUCUGUUAAGUCGGAUGUGAAAUCUCCGGGCUCAACUCGGAAACUGCAUCCGAUACUGGCAGACUUGAGGAUGGUAGAGGUCGGUGGAAUACCAGGUGUACCGGUGAAAUGGGCAGAUAUCUGGUGGAACACCAGUGGCGAAGGCGGCCGACUGGGCCAAUCCUGACGCUGAGACGCGAAAGCCAGGGUAGCGAACCGG
rnacentral:rRNA from 1 species